rnacentral:rRNA from 1 species
GUGGGGGAUAUUGCACAAUGGGGGAAACCCUGAUGCAGCGACGCCGCGUGGAGGAAGAAGGUUUUCGGAUUGUAAACUCCUGUCGUACGGGACGAUAAUGACGGUACCGUACAAGAAAGCCACGGCUAACUACGUGCCAGCAGCCGCGGUAAAACGUAGGUGGCAAGCGUUGUCCGGAAUUACUGGGUGUAAAGGGAGCGCAGGCGGACCGGCAAGUUGGAAGUGAAAUCUAUGGGCUCAACCCAUAAAUUGCUUUCAAAACUGCUGGCCUUGAGUAGUGCAGAGGUAGGCGGAAUUCCCGGUGUAGCGGUGGAAUGCGUAGAUAUCGGGAGGAACACCAGUGGCGAAGGCGGCCUACUGGGCACCAACUGACGCUGAGGCUCGAAAGCAUGGGUAGCAAACAGGAUUAGAUACCCUAGUAGUCC